ACCCCGCGUUCCACCACUUGGUGGAAAAAUGAAAAAGCUCACCGUCUUCGUUCAUUCUUAGUUUUCCCUCGCCCGACCUAGCAGCUCCUCUUCUUCGCUGCUCUUCCUACCUCACUGCUCUCUCGUAUCGGUCUACAAAGUACAAACCAACAACCAAAGCAGCCUCUCACCCCGUGCUUUCCCGUACUCAGUGAAAAAAUCAAAACAUCUCUUUUUUACCUCGCGCUCUCCUGACCUAGAGCAACUAGAGCUAGCUAUCAGAUCGAUUCAUUCCUCUCAUCUCAAAACCAUGAGAGGUUCUUCUUCCCCAGAAGAGACGAAAGCUAGAGACGCACCGCCCGAGCUAGGUUUUGGACACAAAAGAUUCUUCUUCAACCUCUCCUCCAGCUAACUUGGGUUUUGGCUGAGUUCUUCAAUUUCACGAACGAUUCCGAAGUAUUGAUUCACUAUUGUUGGAUGGUUUGGGUGUUUGGGCUUCUAUCGAUUUAGAGAUGUGGGUGACUGAAAUAGAGUUGGGUCUUACUCUAAUUUAGGAAUUUGCUGCUGGGUUUAUGGAACAACUACCCCCAUUGAUAGGCUUUUAUUGGAAUCCUUUGAAGCUCUUCCUAGGAUCGUCAGGUUUACCCUGCAACUAGAUCAUCAAUUGAGAGUUUGCAGAAAGUGAGACUUGAUAGUUUAGAAGCAGCUACUAUCAAACAGAACCCGUCAUGUAAUAUAUGUAGGGAUGACUUUGCAGAAGGCAGUGCUGAUCAACUGGUUAUUCCUUUGCCUUGCGCUCACUGUUAUCAUGCAGAUUGCAUCAUCUUGUGGCUGGAGGUGAAUCAUUUGUGCCCGUUGUGUCGAUAUGCAAUGCCAAAUGUGGAAGAGGACCAGCCUUCAAGUUUGUAAUGGACGCCAAGAGAUGAAAAAGUGCUGGAUUAUUAGUUUUGUUUUGCUGGUCAGGAAGCUGGAUAAGCAACAUGUCCACUACUUUUCCGUUUCCAGAAGCCUCCAUCAACAUCACCCUUUUCUCUUUGCCGACAUCAGGAUUACCCAUCAACAUCAGCACUGAUCAAAACUUGGUCCCAAAUUCAGAUUCUGUUCAUAAUCUGAAAAAAGAAAAAGUCCACGCUAAAAGCAAGUAGAACAAGUUUGAUCUCUGAAAAAAAAAAAACUAUUGUUCUUAUUUCUUUUUAAUUAUGUCCCUAUUCUUUAAUUAUAGUGGAAUUUACAGCAGAUUGAUCAUUGGGUGAAGUAGAAGACAAGUGCUUUAGCUUAGAAUAUCUUUGAGCUUGCUCAGAGACAUGAAUAAAAAUUUUACUUGAAGAGGCACGCUUUCCACUCCAUGCAAGCCAAUACCACAGGGAGGAGUUCCACAAGACCUUGAAACUGGAGUUUCCUGAUGCAGACACAUGUUAAGAGAUAAAUAUUGAUUCACAUGUAUUGAUUUGGAUUUGACAAUGAGUGAUUUGAUUGUUUCUGCUCUUCUUUGAGGUAAAAAAAGAAUUUAGAUAUCCCCGCAUAUAUUGAUUUUGAUUUGAAGAUGAGUGCUUUGAUUGUUUCAGCUCUUCUUUGAGGUGACAAAAGAAAAUUUAGAUAUGCCCUUUCAGUAGAAUUGAUUUCAUGUACUAAUGAAACAACUUAAUGAGAUGCCAAAUUAGCUAUUUACAUAUGCCAAAUUAGCUAUUAGCAUACAAUUGAAUUUUGUCAACAAAUCAGUAACUCAGCUGAAAUUCAGAGUUCUGGAACAGUGUGCACUCAGAUUUUUGUAAUCUUUCAAAUUCAGGUAUGGUUGCAUAAAAGACUGUAUCUGAUUUAUUGUGUUCGCUCUGUUUGUUUUCUGAAAUUGAACAUAACUUUAUGUCUACUGGUUUAUUUACAUAUUGGUUUUCGAUGUAGUUAUGGCACUUGAUAUGCGGUCCAGAAGAGCAAAGAGAUUAUUAGAAGAGCAUGAUGGUGAGAAUUGUAAAGGUGAAGAAGUGCAAGCAAUGGACAAUUGUCACAGACUUUGUCCGCUGAUAGCUGAAACUGGAAAUAUUGGUAUUGUCCAGACUUUGUCCGCUGAUAGCUGAAACUGGAAAUAUUGGUUUUGCUAUGCAAGCAAUGCAUCAGAGUAAAUCAAUGAACUCAAGAAAUGAUGGUUUCAACAAUGAAGAAGUCGAUCUUUGAUGAACAAACUAACAAGGCCUUAAGGAAAUUGCAAAAGAAUGCUCAAAAGAAGAGAAGGCAUCAUGAUGUAGUUCGAGCUGAAUGGGCAAAUCAUGUUAUACAGUUCUAACUUUGGUUCUGUUUAAGGUAGAUGAGUAGCACUUGGAACUGCUUUUGUGCAUUUAUAUACAACUGAUGGAAAGUGUUAUGAACUUAAAUUAUGCGUGCAGUUGCUCUGUCUAGCUACUCUUUCUUUGCCUUAUAGGUUUUUGACUUGGUGCACUAGUUAAAUGAUCGAGAUAAGAUGUUUUUUUGGUUCUCUCGAUCAUAAUGUAACUGUUGGCUAGGCUUAGAGUUGGAACUAUGGAUUGUAUUUUGGAUGAUGUUGAUGCAAUUAAUGAAACGUAGCCAUCAUUUUCAAUGCUGA